AUGAACGCUGGCGGCGUGUCUAAGGCAUGCAAGUCGAACGGUUUGUAGCAAUACAAGCCGUGGCAAACGGGUGCGUAACACAUUGGUAACCUUCCCCGUGGAUGAGUAUAACUCCGAGAAAUUGGAGACAAUCCUCAAUAAUAGUGGGGGGACAAAAGUCAUUCCCACUCAAAUCUUUCGCAAGAUUGGCCGCGGGAUGGGCCUAUGGCCUAUCAGCUAGUUGGUAAGGUAAAAGCUUACCAAGGCUACGACGGGUAGCGGGUGUGAGAGCACGACCCGCCUCACUGGGACUGAGACACUGCCCAGACUCCUACGGGAGGCUGCAGUCAAGAAUAUUCCUCAAUGGCCGAAAGGCUGAAGGAGCGACGCCGCGUGAUUGAAGAAGCCCUUCGGGGUGUAAAAAUCUUUUUUUAGGGACGAAUUUCGACGGUACCUAAAGAAUAAGGGGCUGCUAACCUCGU
rnacentral:rRNA from 1 species